rnacentral:rRNA from 1 species
AAACCGUUUAGGGGUAAACCUGAGAAACCCGAAAAGUCGAAGGAAGAAAUUCAUUCGCGUUUCGCUAUUGACAAAAUUGUGUAUGCUAGACAAUAAUUGUAUUGAUGUGUUCAUCUUUGUGGUGUGUAUUUUAAUAUAUGUGUUGCUACAUACCUAUUUUAAGUCUGAUGGUGGACGCGUGCAUUUUUCUUCUGGUAGGACGUUGCGAUCCGUUAGGAUAAUUAUCGAUCUAUGAUGUUUUAGUGGUUUAGUUCAUUAGUACAUAUUUAUUUAUGAUAAUAUUAAUGAAGCCAUACAAUCUGAUCGAUCUACCUGACGGUAAUUUAAUGGUUAAAAGUCGCUAUGAAAUAUUAGCGUUAGAGGUUGGACAAGUAUAUAAAUUGUGUAAAGGCAAUAUUAUUAUUCGUAGUAAUGUUGUUCUCGGUAAUCGGUAUUUAUAUCAAUUCCGGGCCGUUUAUUUACUGUUUGUACAACAUAUCUCUAACAGACUUUAUUAUUUUUAAAUAAAACCGAUCAGCAACGCUAUAGC